rnacentral:tRNA from 1 species
GCGCGAUUAGCUCAGUGGGAGAGCACUUCCUUCACACGGAAGGGGUCACUGGUUCAAUCCCAGUAUCGCGCA